UACGGGGGGAGCAAGCGUUGUUCGGAUUUACUGGGCGUAAAGGGCUCGUAGGCGGUUUGUCACGUCGGGAGUGAAAACUCAGGGCUCAACCCUGAGCGUGCUUCCGAUACGGGCAGACUAGAGGUAUGCAGGGGAGAACGGAAUUCCUGGUGUAGCGGUGGAAUGCGCAGAUAUCAGGAGGAACACCAGUGGCGAAGGCGGUGCUCUGGGCCGGAACUGACGCUGAGGAGCGAAAGCGUGGGGAGCAAACAGG
rnacentral:rRNA from 1 species